ACCCUGCUGAGGAGUCCCACAAUAGGACGAAACGGCCGUCCAAUGAU
rfam:Schistosoma mansoni strain Puerto Rico chromosome 1, complete genome